rnacentral:rRNA from 1 species
CGCAAGCCUGACGGAGCAAGACCGCGUGGGGGAGGAAGGCUCUUGGGUUGUAAACCCCUUUUCUCAAGGAAGAAGUUCUGACGGUACUUGAGGAAUCAGCCUCGGCUAACUCCGUGCCAGCAGCCGCGGUAAUACGGAGGAGGCAAGCGUUAUCCGGAAUGAUUGGGCGUAAAGCGUCCGCAGGUGGCCGUUCAAGUCUGCUGUCAAAGCCAGGGGCUCAACUCCUGACCGGCAGUGGAAACUGAACAGCUAGAGUGCGGUAGGGGCAGAGGGAAUUCCCGGUGUAGCGGUGAAAUGCGUAGAGAUCGGGAAGAACACCGGUGGCGAAAGCGCUCUGCUGGGCCGCAACUGACACUCAGGGACGAAAGCUAGGGGAGCG